rnacentral:snRNA from 2 species
GCACUCGCUUUGGCAGCACAUACACUAAAAUUGGAAGGACACAGAGAAGAUUAGCAUGGCCCCUGAGCAAGGAUGACACACAAAUUCUUGAAGUGUUCCAUAUUUUU